rnacentral:rRNA from 1 species
GAUGAACGCUGGCGGCGGGCCUAAUACAUGCAAGUCGAGCGACCAGACGGUGAGCUUUUUCUCCUACCGUUAGCGGCUGACGGGCGAGUAACACGUGCAUAACCUUCCUCUUUUACUGGGAUAACUUCGGGAAAACGCUUACGAUACUACCUCAUAUGUCCUACCGCUUGGUUCAAUAGUUAUUCACGGUUUUCGUGUCACUUUGAGAUGGAUCCGCGCCGCAUUAGCUAGUUGGUAAGGUAACGGCUUACCAAGGCAACGAUGCGUAGCCGAGCUGAGAGGGUGAUCGGCCACACUGGAACUGAGACACGGUCCAGACUCCUACGGGAGGCAGCAGUAGGGAAUCUUCCGCAAUGGGCGAAAGCUUGACGGAGCAACGCCGCGUGAGUGAUGAAGGUCUUCGGAUCGUAAAACUCUGUUAUUAGGGAAGAACAAAUGUGUAAGUAACUAUGCACGUCUUGACGGUACCUAAUCAGAAAGCCACGGCUAACUUCGUG